rnacentral:rRNA from 1 species
AGGAUUUUUAUUUUAUUUUGCCCCGAUGGGUGCUAACUGCAGUCGAGCGCGAAAGUACUUCGGUGGCGAGUAGAGCGGCGAAAGGGCGAGUCAUUUAUUUCUACGUACCCCCAGGUCAGGGAUAGCCCAGGAAGCCUUUGUUUAAUACCUGAUGUGGUGCCCAUGUAAAAGUGGUCAUCAAAGACUUCGGUCGCCAGGGGAGCGGGGAACGUCCUAUCAGGUUGUUGGUGAGGUAACGGCUCACCAAGCCGGAGACGGGUAGCGGGUGUGAGAGCAUGACCCGCCGCAUCGGGACUGAGACACUGCCCGGACUCCUACGGGAGGCUGCAGUAACGAAUCUUCCGCAAUGCGCGAAAGCGUGACGGAGCAAUGCCGCGUGCGGGAUGAAGCUCUUCGGAGUGUAAACCGCUGUCAGAGUUCAGCAACACAAUGAGCAGACUCAAAGGAAGGGCCGGCUAACUUCGUGCCAGCAGCCGCGGUAAUACGAAGGGCCCGAGCGUUGCGCGGAAUCAUUGGGCUUAAAGCGUACGUAGGCGGGCGCGCAGGCGUCUUGUGAAAUCCCUCGGCUCAACCGAGGAAUUGCUCGACGAACCGCGUGCCUUGAAGCAAGUAGGGGCUGUCGGAACGAUAGGUGGAGUGGUGAAAUGCGUUGAUAUCUAUCGGAACGCCGAAGGAGAAAUCAGGCAGCUGGGCUUGUCUUGACGCUGAGGUACGAAAGCGUGGGGAGCGAACGGGAUUAGAUACCCCGGUAGUCCACGCCGUAAACGGAUGUGCACUAGAUCGAGGGGGUUCUGACACUGCUCUCGGUCCAACGAAAGUGUUAAGUGCACCGCCUGGGGAGUACGGGCGCAAG